rnacentral:rRNA from 1 species
AUUGAACGCUGGCGGCAGGCUUAACACAUGCAAGUCGAACGGGGAGUUAGCAAUAACUCCUAGUGGCGAACGGGUGAGUAACGCGUAGACAACCUGCCUUCUAGAUGGGGACAACACCGCGAAAGUGGUGCUAAUACCGAAUGUUGUAUCGAAGCUGCAUAGCAUUGAUACUAAAGGUGGCCUCUAUUUAUAAGCUACCGCUAGAAGAUGGGUCUGCGUCUGAUUAGCUAGUUGGUGAGGUAAUGGCUCACCAAGGCGACGAUCAGUAGCCGGUCUGAGCGGAUGAACGGCCACACGGGGACUGAGACACGGCCCAGACUCCUACGGGAGGCAGCAGUGGGGAAUCUUCCGCAAUGGACGAAAGUCUGACGGAGCAACGCCGCGUGAGUGAUGAAGGCCUUCGGGUCGUAAAGCUCUGUUAUUAGGGACGAAUGUACCUCAUGUGAACAAUGUGAGGUAGUGACGGUACCUAAGGAGGAAGCCACGGCUAACUACGUGCCAGCAGCCGCCGUAACAC